rnacentral:rRNA from 1 species
UACGUAGGGGGCGAGCGUUGUCCGGAUUUAUUGGGCGUAAAGGGCGCGUAGGCGGCUUUGCAAGUGGCGGGUGAAAUCCCUCGGCUUAACCGAGGAACUGCCUGUCAAACUGCAUGGCUUGAGACCAGGAGAGGUGAGUGGAAUUCCCAGUGUAGCGGUGAAAUGCGUAGAUAUUGGGAGGAACACCAGUGGCGAAGGCGGCUCACUGGACUGGUACUGACGCUGAUGCGCGAAAGCGUGGGGAGCAAACAGG